rnacentral:rRNA from 1 species
GAGUUUGAUCGUGGCUCAGAGUGAACGCUGGCGGUAGGCCUAACGCAUGCAAGUCGAACGGUAACAGGUCUUUCGGGAUGCUGACGAGUGGCGGACGGGUGAGGAAUACAUCGGAAUCUGCUCAGUCGUGGGGGAUAACGCAUGGAAACGUGCGCUAAUACCGCAUACGACCUUCGGGUGAAAGCAGGGGAAUCUCUCGGGAUCCUUGCGCGAUUGAAUGAGCCGAUGUCGGAUUAGCUAGUUGGUAGGGUAAAAGCCUACCAAGGCCACGAUCCGUAGCUGGUCUGAGAGGAUGAUCAGCCACACUGGGACUGAGACACGGCCCAGACUCCUGCGGGAGGCAGCAGUGGGGAAUAUUGGACAAUGGGGGCAACCCUGAUCCAGCCAUACCGCGUGGGUGAAGAAGGCCUUCUGGGUUGUAAAGCCCUUUUGUUGGGGAAGAAAAACAACGGGUUAAUACCCCGUUGGUAUGACGGUACCCAAAGAAUAAGCACCGGCUAACUUCGUGCCAGCAGCCGCGGUAAUACGAAGGGUGCAAGCGUUACUCGGAAUUACUGGGCGUAAAGGGUGCGUAGGUGGUUGCGCCAGUCUGUCGUGAAAGCCCUGGGCUUAACCUGGGAAUGGCGAUGGAAACUGUGCAACUAGAGUGUGACAGAGGGUGGUGGAAUUCCUGGUGUAGCAGUGAAAUGCGUAGAGAUCAGGAGGAACAUUCGUGGCGAAGGCGGCCACCUGGGUCAACACUGACACUGAGGCACGAAAGCGUGGGGAGCAAACAGGAUUAGAUACCCUGGUAGUCCACGCCCUAAACGAUGCGAACUGGAUGUUGGGUCCAACUUGGGAUUCAGUAUCGAAGCUAACGCGUUAAGUUCGCCGCCUGGGGAGUACGGUCGCAAGACUGAAACUCAAAGGAAUUGACGGGGGCCCGCACAAGCGGUGGAGUAUGUGGUUUAAUUCGAUGCAACGCGCAGAACCUUACCUGGCCUUGACAUGCACGGAACCUUUUGGAGACGA